rnacentral:tRNA from 1 species
GGGCCCUUAGCUCAGUCGGAUUCAGAGCGUCUGACUACGGAUCAGAAGGUCACAGGUUCGAGCCCUGUAGGGCCCACCA